rnacentral:rRNA from 1 species
AUUGAACGCUGGCGGCAGGCCUAACACAUGCAAGUCGAGCGGAGCGGCGGACGGGUGAGUAAUGCCUAGGAAUCUGCCUGGUAGUAGGGGAUACCGUCCGGAAACGGGCGCUAAUACCGCAUACUAUCAGAUGAGCCUAGGUCGGAUGAGCUAGUUGGUGGGGUAAAGGCAUACCAAGGCGACGAUACGUAACUGGGCUGAGAGGAUGAUCAGUCAAACUGGAACGGAGACACGGUCCGGAUUCCUACGGGAGUCAGCAUGGGGGAAUAGUGGACAAUGGGCGAAAGCCGGAUCCAGCCAUGCCGCGUGUGUGAAGAAGGUCUGCGGAUUGUAAAGCACUUUAAGUUGGGAGGCGUUACCAACAGAAUAAGCACCGGCUAACUUCGUGCCAGCAGCCGCGGUAAUAC